rnacentral:rRNA from 1 species
AUUGAACGCUGGCGGCAGGCCUAACACAUGCAAGUCGAACGAGUGGCGGACUGGUGCGUAAUGUCUGGGAAACUGCCUGAUGGAAGGGGAUAACUACUGGAAACGGUAGCUAAUACCGCAUACCAUCGGAUGUGCCCAGAUGGGAUUAGCUAGGAGGUGGGGUAACGGCUCACCUAGGCGACGAUCCCUAGCUGGGCUGAGAGGAUGACAAGCAACACUGGAACUGAGACACGGUCCAGACUCCGACGGGAGGCAGCAGUGGGGAAUAUUGCACAAUGGGAGCAAGACUGAUGGAGAAAUGCCGCGUGUAUGAAGAAGGCCUUCGGGUUGUAAAGUACUUUCAGCGGGGAGGCGUUACCCGAAGAAUAAGCACCGGCUAACUCCGCGCCAGCAGCCGCGGUAAUAC